GAUGAACGCUGGCGGCGUGCUUAACACAUGCAAGUCGAACGGAAAGGCCCAAGCUUGCUUGGGUACUCGAGUGGCGAACGGGUGAGUAACACGUGGGUGAUCUGCCCUGCACUUCGGGAUAAGCCUGGGAAACUGGGUCUAAUACCGGAUAGGACCACUUCUUGGAUGGUGUGGUGGAAAGUUUUUUCGGUGUGGGAUGAGCUCGCGGCGUAUCAGCUUGUUGGGGGGGUAAUGGCCUACCAAGGCGUCGACGGGUAGCCGGCCUGAGAGGGUGUACGGCCGCACUGAGACUGACGGGAGGCACAGGCGCCGACUGGAGGAAGCAGGGGGGAAGACUGCUCCAGCGGCGCCAGGCGUGUGCAGCAGGGCUUCGGAUUGGAAAGCAGUCUACGUGUUGAGGACGCCUAGUACGUGAAACGAUUCGUGUUUUGACGUUACCAAGAGAAGAAGCACCGGCUAACUACGUG
rnacentral:rRNA from 1 species